GUCGGGAUAGCUCAGUCGGUAGAGCAGAG
rnacentral:tRNA from 1 species